rnacentral:rRNA from 1 species
AACGAACGCUGGCGGCAGGCCUAACACAUGCAAGUCGAACGCUGAAGCCAGAAGCUUGCUUCUGGUGGAUGAGUGGCGAACGGGUGAGUAACACGUGAGUAACCUGCCCCUGAUUUCGGGAUAAGCCUGGGAAACCGGGUCUAAUACCGGAUACGACCAUCCCUCGCAUGAGGGUUGGUGGAAAGUUUUUCGAUCGGGGAUGGGCUCGCGGCCUAUCAGCUUGUUGGUGGGGUAAUGGCCUAACAAGGCGACGACGGGUAGCCGGCCUGAGAGGACGAGCGGCCACACUGGGCCUGAGACACGGCCCAGAGUCCUACGGGAGGCAGCAGUGGGGAAUAUUGCACAAUGGGGGAAACCCUGAUGCAGCGACGCAGCGUGCGGGAUGACGGCCUUCGGGUUGUAAACCGCUUUCAGCAGGGAAGAAGCGAAAGUGACGGUACCUGCAGAAGAAGUACCGGCUAACUACGUGCCAGCCGCCGCAGUAA